UGCCAGGAGUUCGCCAUUUUUGUCGGGC
rnacentral:piRNA from 1 species